UGCGCAGUCAGUCGCUCGUUAUCGUUUUUGUGUGCAAACGUCGAUGCAAAUAAACGAUUUUAAAUUAAAUUAAACUUCGGUUUCGGCACCAUUUUGGCCACGCUCAUUUUAUAAAUCAACUAAGUGAACUUAUAGUAAUUGUUCACCCAAUUUUAAGAAAGAAAUCUACACAUAAAUGGAAAGUGAUGGAAGUCAGUAAUCAAUCUAUGGAAAAUUUGGAAUCGCAAAUGACAUAAAAAUAACGGAUUUUGAAGUUUUUAGUGGGCAUUUUCACUCGAGCGGAGAAACUGAGCCACAAGACAAAACGAGGCCAUUAUCUCUCCACUGUGCAGCUGCCACGCCCAGUGUGUAACGCCCUAGUCCGGGCAUACAUAUAUAGUCAUUCAUCUAUUUUCCACCAGCUGGUCAGAUCUUUGUUGAUGUUUUUUGAUGUAAGGAAUACCUUUUAUACACCAUUUUCCCCCUGUGUGCAAAAGAAGGAGACUGGAGGAAAGCCCAAGUGGAUGUGGAGCCACUAAAUGAUCCACUGUGUGGGGCAACAACGACAACACCUUCCAACGGAAAACAGCAACAAAAAAAGGGAGGAGGCAAAAGAAAAGAAAAUUCAACAAAUCAUGGCAGUGGCAGUGGCAACGUCAGCCCAAAACGGAAGCCAUGCCAAAAAGCCGGCAAAAAACUGAGGCAAAUGGGGGAAAAACCACACCUGCAUUUUCCUCAAGCUACCCAUCGACCCAGUUCCAGUGGCUGC